rnacentral:lncRNA from 12 species
AUGCAUCACAAGGACAAGGAUCAUAUACCCUGCAUGAAAACUAGCAAAAUUCUAGGAAGGCUUGUGGGAUUGGAAAGCAAGAUACCUGUACCUCACUUCUCAGAUAAAGACACGAAGAGGCAGCAGGACUCCUUCCCAGAUGAAGACGAGGGAGAGGAAUGGCCACUUGCUGCACAUCAGCAGACAUGGCCUCCUGCAGCCUCUGGGAUUUCUUUCCCUUUCAUGGUGCAGGAGCUCAGAAUGGUGGCCACAUGCCCAAGGAUGGCAUCAAGGCAGCAGAGAGAGCAAUGGACCUGUGAGGGCCAUCUUGAUAGGACACAGAUACAUCUCCAAAGCGCCCUAAUUAGAGGGGCCUAAUGAAAUGAAAAUAUGGAGGAGAGGAAGAAAAGAGAUUUUUUUAUAAUAAGAUUAUUUUGGGAAUACAGACAAACAGCCACAUACCCCCUCAGGGUUGAUCCAGCAUUUUGCCUUGCCAGCCUCUUUAAACCAUUUUAGAACAAAUACAGCUCAAGAGUUCCAUGAACCACCUAGAAUAUAUAAAGAAAAUAGGAUAAGAGGCAGAGUACUCUAAAGACCUCUGUAACCCCAAGUCAUCAUGGGUUUUUUUCAAAGCUUAUGCUACUCUUUACUUAAUUACAUUUGCUCCUAAGAAGCGUUGAGUGUUAAGAAGUUGGAAAUGAAAUUGGCUAAUCUGUAUACCUUCUAUUGUACCAGAAGAAACUGAGCCCCAAAGCAUUGAAUUAAUUGUCCUAGAACACACAGAAGUCUGGUGAUGAUAACAGGGUAAUGCUCAAUUUUGCCAAGAUUGCCACAACAUCAAGUACGGUAUCUGUGCACACUUCUAUGAAUAUCUAUAGGUCGGUACACUACUCAUCCUUUUCUUACACAACACAAAACCUUUAGAAAAACACCUAUUAUAUUUCUUUUCCCUGAUCCAUGCUUCCUUGGUCCCCUGAGACUAAUUCAGAGCAAAUAAAAAACCUUACAAACAAGUCUUAGAAAUGUGA